rnacentral:lncRNA from 1 species
UGUUGCAUCUCUUCUGCCACAUUAAGUGACAGCCACAGGUUCCCGGGAUGAGGACCUGGAUAACUUUUGGACAUUCGAGUUGUUCUUGCCCUGACACCUGCCCUAACCUCCUGAGAGCUCCAAGCUGCCGCCGGCCGGGGUGCGCCCAGUGUGGGCUGCGCAGCUGGUCCUUCUCUUGUGCGGGGCUGUUACCCCCGAGUCCCCGGACUUCCUGGCUCUGUCGUCUGUCCUUCCAAGUGACUGGUCGAAGUGUGUGCAAAGAUCCUGAGAUUCAGGCUUCGAGAAGACUUGCCGCUGUGGUUCCACAGCGCUGAUGUAUCAUGGACAUUCAACCCUCAGUCCAACUGCCACUAGCAAAGUAAGAAUUUGUGUUAAUCAUUUGACUCUUUGCAAAAAAAAAAAAAAAAAAUCAUUUGACCCUUUGCAUCCUCUGUUUCUCGUCUAUACAGUGGAGUUAAUAAGAGCUAUUUCAUUAGGGAAGUUGAAAAAAUAUUAAACAUAAGAAUGUACACAAAUCAUUUAGGAUGUUUUUUUUUGUUUUGUUUUGUUUUUUUUGUUUUUUUGUUUUUUUUAUUUAGGAUGUUUUAAUGCAAGUAACUGAAAACUUGAGUUGAACUGAUUUAAACAAUAAAGGGGGCAGCCCCGGUGGCGCAGCGGUUUAGCGCCGCCUGCAGCCCAGGUGUGAUCCUGGAGACCCUGGAUCGAGUCCUGCAUCGUGCUCCCUGCAUGGAGCCUGCUUCUGCCUCUGCCUGUGUCUCUGUGCCUCUCUGUCUCUAUGAAUAAAUAAAUAAAAUCUUUAAAAAAAAGUAAAGGAAAUCUACUGACUUGUGUAAAAAAAAAGAUUAGAGGCUUUCAGGCAUGGUUUGAUCCAGAGACACAAAUUCAUUAUUAUUAUUAAUACUGAAAGCCUUCGGUUCUCUGUACACCUCUUACCAUAUUUUAUUCCAGAUAUCUAAGACUUCUCUUUUUUCUUCUUUUAUUUAUUUUCCUCUUGCUUAUCUGCCUGAGAAAAGAUUUUACACAUAAGCAAGAUUAAGCAGGCUUGAUUUCAUUUCCUCUGGUCUACUGCUUGCUAACUGCACCUCUUUUGGUUCUUUCUGCUUUUGUUCUGCACCACGAUUUCCUUCCUUCUGUUCUCAAAUAUGUCAAGCUCAGUCCUGCCUCUUUUCCCUGAUGUUCAUUAGCUGCUUCCUCUGCCUGGCUUGAUUUUUCCUUGAUCACCUUAGGGCUGACUUCUUCAUAACCUCAUUUCGGAUCUCUUCUGUACAAUCCUUUCCUGGCCACUGUCUCUUGGAUUCAUACCCUGCCUUCUCUUAUUCUUCUGCUUUAUUUUCUUUAUAUUACUUAUGACUGUCUUUUUCCCCUUGUAAUUUGUUUAUUGGCUGCAUCUGUGUCCUCAAAGGGCCUUGUAAGUACCAAGAGGCAGGGACUUUGCCGGUCUGGCUUUUGCCUGUGCCUGGUUUUGCACCCGAAACAUUAGAAGUGCU